GACAUGGUGGUGGACGACAAUGUUAGUAAAUCUGGAGAUGUUAUCGGGGGCCUCAGAAGAGUUAUCUUUUCUUUUUAACGACUUUCCCACCAUGAAAUCGAUUCAACUAGAGAUAGGGUCCAACAUCUGGAACGGCACCACACGUCUUGCGGUGUUUGGUGCCCCCUCGGCAACCAUUGAAAAUAUGGAGAACCGAGUACCAUCCAUGU
rnacentral:ncRNA from 1 species